GAUGAAGAACGUAGUGAAAUGGGAUACGUAAUGUGGAUUGCAGAAUUCAGUGAAUCAUCGAAUCUUUGAACGCAUAUUGCGCUCUCUGGUAUUCCGGAGAGCAUGCUUGUUUGAGUAUCAGUAAACACCUCAACUUCCAUAUCUUUUUUGAAAUGGGAGUUGGACUUGAGUGAUCCCAACGCUUUUCCUCACCGAAAAGUGGCGGGUUACUUGAAAUGCAGGUGCAGCUGGACUUUUCUCUGAGCUAUAAGCAUAUCUAUUUAGUCUGCCUAAAAAACAGAUUAUUACCUUUGCUGCAGCUAACAUAAAGGAGAUUAGUUCUUGUGCUGACUGAUGCAGGAUUCACAAAGACAGGCUUCGGCCGACUUUGUAAACUCGAUCUCAAAUCAAGCAAGACUACCCGCUGAACUUAAGCAUAUCAAUAAGCGGAGGA
rnacentral:misc_RNA from 1 species